rnacentral:tRNA from 1 species
CGGGAUGUGGCGCAGUUGGGAGCGCGCUCGCUUCGGGAGCGAGAAGUCGUCGGUUCAAAUCCGGCCAGCCCGA